rnacentral:lncRNA from 1 species
GAGAAAGUGAAGUUGCUCAGUCGUCUUCGACUCUUAGCGACCCCAUGGACUGCAGCCCACCAGGCUCCUCUGUCCAUGGGAUUCUCCGGGCAAGAGUACUGGAGUGGGGUGCCGUUGCCUUCUCCAGCGAUUAGAGCUAGAUACUCCUAAAUUCUCUUUAUUCACCUGAGACUUGUUCAGACUCCUGUCUUAUCCCAGGUUUUUUCUAUGACUCCGGACGCAAAGGUAAAAAGAAAGUAGUCCUGGUCAUUAUAAACCUCACAGUCUAGCGGAGGAAAAGAGAUAUAAACAGCGUAAAUGCCAUUUGCAGUAAAACUUUGCAGGAAAUGUUCGGAGUGGAAGAUGGGUGUGAAGGGAAAUAUUCUGCUGGCAUCUGCUGCGUGCACCGUGCUAGGUGCGUUCUUUGUGUUCUCUUGUCUGCUGCUCUUGGAGUGAAGUUUUCAGACAAGAAAUCAUCCCCAGGAAGAGCAAGGAGAAGAAUAAAGGAAGAGUAAAAGGCACUGGAACUGCAGCAGGGAACUUCUGUUCAUCCGUGCCUGAAAAUGGGGCAUCUGAGUAAAUGCACAGAAUUUAGCAGCUCUGUGGAGGCCAGCCAGGGAGUGUUCAAUAAAGGACCAGAUUCCGGUAUGACCUGAUGACA